AUGGCCAAAUAUUGGUGGAGCAGUAGCCUAGAUCGCCGGUCUUUACAUUGGUUAUCUUGGGACUCACUGGUUGCACCAAAAGUUAAAGGAGGGAUGGGAUUCAAGGACCUGCAGCUCUUUAACCUAGCACUGCUUGGCAAGCACGGGGGGCGCCUGAUGACGAAUCCCAACUCUCUGUGCUCGCGGGUCUUAAAAGGUAGAUACUUUCAUUCCUGCGAUUUCAUGCAAGCCACUGCACCUAAGUACUCAUCGGCCAUGCGGCGGGCGAUAAUCGCGGGCAGAGAA
rnacentral:rRNA from 1 species